rnacentral:lncRNA from 1 species
GUGGCCAUGGAUUUUCAUCACAGGUUGCAGCAGAUGGUUUCAAUAGUUCUGUUGAAUGCUCUUCAUCUUUGCCUUCAAGAGGAACCCCAGAUUUCAUUUACGGUCCAUUGCUAUGUUCUAGUAUGAUACUCUACUUUUCCACAGAACUCUUCCUGCUCAAGCUGAGAAGCAUGGCUAUAAUUUGCAAUUUUUGUUUUAUAAUAAGCUGGUGUUGAGGAAGGAGCUUUGGCAGUACAAGUAAUCACCAUUUCCACUGUCGAAAGCAUCUGGAAACUCAUCCCUACUGAUGAUCAACUAAUCACAAAUGGAAUUUCAAGGAAAAUUCAAAGUACUCACCUUGAAAGGCUUUAUCAUCCUAAGAAGUUUGUACUUCAUCCUGACAGCAAAUAAAUGAUGAAUGAGACAUUUCUAGUUGCAAUAUGAAGAAUGGAGUGAACAGAGUAAUUCUGGAGAUGUACUGCCUCCUGGACUGGGUCAGACAGUCACAGAAUACAGGCUUCAAACUGCUUUUCACACCAUUCUGGUUGGAAAUGGAACCUUUGGAGGCUCAUCAUGUUACCUUUAGCAAAACUGGAAACCAGACGUUGAGAAUGCCAGUGGCCAGCCUUUCAUUAAAAAGCUUUGCAAAGGAAGUCUCUCGGUCAGUGUGACUCACUUGCCUGAAAUUAACUGCUGUUGAUUUCAGCUGCUCCUUAAUCAACGAAACCCAGCCAAUUCAUGUGGACUGAGACACACAUGGCCUUUCAAGUUAAUUGAGUGCUUACUAUGUGUGACUCACUGUAAAAAGGAUGGGAGAGAAAAUGAGGAGACAAAUAAGGUACAGGGUCUGCCUUCAGUGAAGCUACAAUUAGUUUCAGGAUGCAUAUUUCUUUAUUUUGCUCAUAGUUAAAAGUUUCUCUCAUACAAGAAACAAAUGAAUGGGAAAACAUAUUCUGUAAAUAUUUUAAGCUUCAUUAAUGAGAAACAAAAUAAAACACAGAACAACAACA